rnacentral:rRNA from 1 species
GCUACGGGAGGCAGCAGUGGGGGAUAUUGCACAAUGGGGGAAACCCUGAUGCAGCGACGCCGCGUGUGGGCAGACGGUCUUCUGGAUUGUACACCACUGUCCCCAGGGACGAAAAUGACGGUACCUGGGGAGGAAGCUCCGGCUAACUACGUGCCAGCAGCCGCGGUAAUACGUAGGUAGCACGCGUUGUACGGCAUUACUGGGUGUAAAGGGGGCGUUGGCGGGGAUGGAAGUGGGGUGGCAAGACUACCGGCUCAACCGAUAGUCGCACGCAACACUGCAACUCUUGAGUGAAGUAGAGGCAGGCGGAAUGCCUAGUGUAGCGGUGAAAUGCGUAGAUAUUAGGAGGAACCCCAGUGGCGAAGGCGGCCGUCUGGGCUUUUACUGACGCUGAGGCUCGAAAGUGUGGGGAGCAAACAGGAUUAGAUACCCCAGUAGUC